rnacentral:rRNA from 1 species
AUUGAACGCUGGCGGCAGGCCUAACACAUGCAAGUCGAACGGUAACAGGGAUCAGCUUGCUGAUUCGCUGACGAGUGGCGGACGGGUGAGUAAUGUCUGGGAAACUGCCUGAUGGAGGGGGAUAACUACUGGAAACGGUAGCUAAUACCGCAUAACGUCGCAAGACCAAAGAGGGGGGCCUUCGGGCCUCUUGCCAUCGGAUGUGCCCAGAUGGGAUUAGCUAGUAGGUGGGGUAACGGCUCACCUAGGCGACGAUCCCUAGCUGGUCUGAGAGGAUGACCAGCCACACUGGAACUGAGACACGGUCCAGACUCCUACGGGAGGCAGCAGUGGGGAAUAUUGCACAAUGGGCGCAAGCCUGAUGCAGCCAUGCCGCGUGUAUGAAGAAGGCCUUCGGGUUGUAAAGUACUUUCAGCGGGGAGGAAGGGAGUAAAGUUAAUACCUUUGCUCAUUGACGUUACCCGCAGAAGAAGCACCGGCUAACUCCGUG